AUGAUACGGCACGAGACCAAAAGUGACGUUUUAAAAUCUGAACCAUGCAGGCAGGUGAAAAUGGCGUUCAUCCACUCAGCUGCUAAGCCACCUAGAAAUGUGAGGAUCCAACAGGAUAUUCACGGCACGGCCGGUCCUGUGACACUACCUCACCCAACAGACAGACCCAGUGAGAAUCGGGCAAGAUCCGGCUUCAGUGAACCUUCAAAACCCUCCACUAACAGCUCUGGCCAAGCCCAAGACCCCCAAAAGUUUAAAAGUGAGUUUUCCAAUGUAUUCAAUUGUGCCUCUAAAUUAAACCACACUUUACUCAGCAGUUUCCAAUAA
ensembl:lncRNA